UUCAUUCAUAUUCAAGCACAGGUGCGUGGAAUUUACUACGAUUUACUAGUUUCUACAAUUGGAUCUUCACAAAAAUACAAGACAUACAGUUGGAUUAAUCAGUGGAUUAUUACUGUGAACUGGUAAAUUAUUACAUGAACUUCAACUGGUUUAUCAAAUAUACAAAUGACAGUAAUUCAAUAUUUCCAGAAAAAUCAUAAUAUUGUUAUUGUUCUAACUUU
rnacentral:lncRNA from 1 species